CAUGAAACCACAUGCAAUAAGAUCUUCCCUUCAACCAACAACAGUUUGGCUGAAAAUACCUUGAAAAACUACACUAGUGAGCUUCUGGCAAGGCUGGAGUUUAUCAGGGCUCAGAUAUGAGUUUGAAAAAUACCGUUGAAAGAACUGAUGCUUUAAAGAAGAGUCAUCAGGUGAAUCUGCUCAAAAUAACAUCACUUUACUAUGCUUAUAGUUUUUGGGAAAAUCCUUGCUAGAUAAAGAUGCUAGCUUAUUCUGUAUGUAUUUUGAAGGUUAGGGCCAGGUAAGAUUGGUGGAGAAGGUCUCCAAAAUUCAGAAGGAAGGCUAAACAUGUAUUCAAUUAACAACACUCCAAAGGGCAAAUCAAACUCUGUUAAAGAAAUUGAGGAAAGAAAACAGUAUUCUCAGAAGAACUGAAAUGCAAAGAAAUAACAUCAGGAGACAAAUCCGAGCUCUUGUUCUCACAUUGGAGACUACAGAGGAAGACAAUAAUAAGGAAACAAAAUCUUUGACUACAUUCAAUCAUGAAACUGAACAAAAAACAAGAAUACCUGUGCCAUCCUUCUCCCAUUGAUUUGGGUAUGCCUCAGAAGAGUGAAAUGUAUUCCAGCUAAGCCCUUGCUGUUUAUCUAUCUGAUGUGCAAAAGGGCUCCUCACAAAUAAUGUUGGAACAGGCAGGGCUAGUAGAAGCCAAACUGUCCUUGCCCUAAUGUUAUAGUAACCUAGAAAAGAGAUUGAAGUCUUUCUCAUUUUACCAUAUCUGUACUACUUUGAGCAUGAUCAUUAUGUUGUCACUUACCUGAUCUAUACCCUAUUUGUGCCUGUAUGCAUGAAGGAAAUCUCAUCUUCUCUUUCUGGUUUUGACAUCUAGAUCUUCCAUGUGUCAGUGAGACGGUGGAAAAGGCAUGAUUGGAGCCUUUCACUGCAAAAAAUAAGAUAAAAACUUUCACAAAUAUCUUUGCUGUACAAAAUGAGGUAACUUUCUCAACAGUUAAUUUUAUGCUUCUUAUCAAAGGUGAACCAGGGAGAGAUCAUCAGUUGGAACUUUCAUCUUUCACAGUACUCACCUGUUAUUUCACUCCUUGAUUCUCUCUAAGGCAAGGAUGUGUGAGGGGGGGAGGCCCAAGCAGCGUAAUUUUGAGCCAGCUGAUUUCUCUGGCCUUGGUGUUCAGGAGCUGUCUGUAACUCUUCUGUUUACAAAUAUUCGAGUUGAUGAUUAUCUUUUACCAUCUUCUUUUUCAUUUCCCAUUAUCUCAGGGAAAAACAAACAAACAAACAAACAAACAAAAAAACCAACAAACUUUUCUUUAAAACCUUGACCUAGUGCCCUCUGUGUAGUUUCAUGAAGCUAAUUAACAGCUCUUUAGGAAAAGGGCUAUGGAAGACUGGAAUCCUCAUUUUAGCUGUGGAGGCAUUCUGUGUGUCAUUUUGUAACAGAGCUAAUGCUUUAUUGGAAAAGUAUAUCAGUACAAAAAAGGUGUGUAGGCAGGUAACCUAAAAAUGGAGCAAGGCUUUCAUGCAUAGUUAUUGUCCAUGUCAUGUAAAAGAAGAUGAUAAUUUAGAAGUGUCCUGGCAAAAAAUGCUACUCCGCUGAAAGGUCUUUAACAGCUUUUGUUGGCUUGAGAAUAGAACUUUUGAGAAAAAGAAUUGUUUAUGUGGGAUUACCUGUGAGGAGUUAUCACAACACCUCUCUUGAAAAUAGCACUGAACAGGUUUUAUUUAGCCUUCACCACGUUGCAUUUUAGAUCACACUGCAAUUUAAUACAUUUGGGAAAUCACAGGGUUUAAAUUUGGAUAUGAGUAAAAACAAGGCCGUCCAGUCUUACUGCAAAUGAAAGUUUAAGGCUGAAAAUAAAUUAUUUUCACAAAUUCUCUGGGGAAUAGUGACAUUUCUAUCCUGAGUCAAUAUGAAGUAAAAGUUCAAAGCCUGAGCCCAGAGAAGUUAAAAAAAAAAAACUGUGUGGCUGGUACUGUGGCUGGUAAGUGGAGAAACUGAGUUAUAAAAUACUUUUCUCUUAAAAUUCAUGAAACAUUAUCUGUAGCAGAAAGAUGCUUAUCAAAUGAGUUCUUGGUUCCAAUAAGCAGUAGGUGAGAUAAAAGUAUCAAUCACUAAUGUAGAUAAGAAGAGUAUUGCAGUUCUGGUUUUGGGCCAGAUGGAGCAAUCAUAAUGAGCUCAAAAGUUUUUGGACACAUUUUGCUGGUUUUGCACCAGGAACUGUUUCACAGAAGAUGUUGAAGCUGUGAUAUGGCAGUGCAGUCAUGUCAGAUUAAUACCUGGGAGCUGCCAAGAAGGGCGGUCACACCCUCUUUAUCCAUUGUGUUCUUAUGUGCCCACCUCUUGUUUCAAAUCCCUUUCCGAUAGAUCAACCAACUCAGCCAACUCCCUUUUAUGGCUGUAUUAUUCAAAUGGUGCGAAACCAGACAGCAAGGGACCAGGACAGCCCUUUUCUGCAGCAGUUCAGCAGCUCAGCUAUAACAUCAAACCGUACGUUGAACAUAAGAAAUCUCUUAUUUGCUAAUCUUAGCAGUAUAAAACAACUGCCCCUCAGUGAGUGGAUGCCUGUCAGCUUAGGACAUCUAUAUGCUCAUACAUGGAAGUGCAGCUGUCUUUUCUUCCAAGAAUAGUGAUAUGAAUAGCCCACAUUAUCAAAGUGAAUUUUCAUUUUGCAGUGAAUGGAUGGUUCUGACGGAUCUGGAAAAUGAAUUAAUUGCACAGAGCUCCAGUUAGGUUCUCCUGCAGUUCUCCCUGGUGUCAGCUAUAUAUCUGCAUGCACAGGAGGUUUAACAUACUCUAUAAAGUCACAAGUGUUAUACUACUGAAUGUAGAUUUCCUACACAUAGGGAACUUCUCAGUGUUGCUAGGAAGUUCUAUUUAGAAAAAAAGAAAAAAGAAAAUGUCUCAUUCUCUUAAUCCUGAAAUAUGUAGAGGGAAACAGACAUCAAAACGUUGAGUAUCAGUAGUCACGUUGACAGCAGCCUGUUCUCUCUGUGUCUAACAUAAUCCUUCUGUUAGUUUCUGAGAACAGAACUAGCUAUCCUGCAGAAAGCCUCAAAGGCUGAUCUUCCUUGGAAAGUCGCUGUUUUAGUUUUGCAUGCCAGCUCUAUGUAAUGAAUUUACAUUGUUAUUGUUGGCAAUAAUUCCUGGCUGAGCAACGUCUUUUGAAUUCUACCCUGGAAACCAUGGUUAAUUUCUUAAUUCUCAUCUGUGGUUUAUGAUUAACGCGGAUAUUUGUUCUCUGGCAGUAGGCUAUUGGAUGUGUUUCUGAAGCAGAUGCUGUGUGAGUGAUGCUGCAUGAUGGAGAACUGGACUUUCUUGUUUAGAGUCAUUUUCUUUUCUUCCUUUUCCUGGUCAAACUGAAAGAGACAAUUUUUCUACACAGCAUUAUGCAGUACCGUGUUACAGAUCCUUUGAUAUAGCUACGAUCAAGUGUUCUGCUUUUUAAAGCCUCAAAAUCCCACAGAAAAAAAAAGUCUUCAGUAUUUAUAUUUCUUCCAUUUUAAAUUUCUGAUCACUAGAAUGACAGUAAAAAGUAUCUCGACACAAACAUCAGAGUUCUGCAAAUCCAGGAGGUAAAUAAAAUACAUAUCUUGCCUUUGUUCCCUUUUUGUUUUUAUCUUGAUUUUUUUUAAGCCAAGACCAUGAUUUUUCUUAGCGUGAUGAUGCUGCAUUUUGGAUAGUUGGGUAUGGAGAGAUGAAAGUCAAAAGAGUUCAAGACUCCUGGGAACUGUUUCUCUGAAUUAGGCCUUCUGGGUUUUUGUUGUGAUUUUACAGUCAGGAGUCAGAAAUCUGCUUUUGCAUAAGGCCCACUGUGUUUCCUUCUCCUGAACAUUUCAGAAAUAGUAGAAUAGUUUGACGUAAUCUGGCCUGAGAACUCAUAAAUACCUUUUGUAAGCAGUAGAAAAUAUGUUUCAUUUCACCGAAGAUGAUUCUGGGCAAGCAAGUUAAUGAAGGAUAUAUUUUGCUCUUCCUUCAGUAGGGACAGAGGACUCUAGUUGGCAAGGGAACUGAUGCUCAAACAUUGUUAGUAGAUGAGUAGGACCUGCAUAGGCCAUGGAGAAGAUUAGGGGGGAAAUUAGUGAUUGCUUAGAAAACAUCUGACUGUGUCAGGAGUUCCUACAACAAACAAAGCGUGAAGCAGAAAUCUGCUACUCUACCUCACAUGAAAGAACAACAGUACCGUUUCCUUGGUUCAUUUCAAGGACUGUUUGCCUUGGUCUCACUUCCCUGUCAAAGUAAAACCAAAAUGAAAUGAAGUUAAGAAAACACACCCACUUCAGCAAAAUCUAAAAAUCUAAGACUUAUAUAGUUACAGAUGUGUUAGGACUUGAAAACUCGAGAAGUCCUCAAAUAGGUAAUGGUCCUGUUUCAUCAGUUCUGUGACACUAACUGUAUCACGUAGGGUAUUCUCGAUGGAAAACCAGAGUGACUGUCCUGAUAACAGUGAAACAAAUUCUUCUACUGUCAAUUAUACCCUUCAUUUCCUCAUUCUUUCCUUAAAAAAAUAAAAAAAGAAGAAAAAAAAAAAAAAGAAAAAAAAAGAUGAAUAUGUUGGAGAAUUAGUGUCCUAACUUGUGUGACUAGGAAAACAGGACCCAUUUAGUUUUAAAGAAGCAAAAGAAAGAAACAGAAUGAAAACCAACCAGGGAGAUGUAGGAGAAAAGGAAGACACAGAAUAAUACGGUUUACAAUUGAGGCAGAGGAGAUUGCAAAUUAAAGGCCAACUAAUGUGAAUACAUGUAAUACAUGUAUUAGGCAGGUAGUGCAGAACUUCAGUUACUUUCACAGCUCCGGCUGUGCCAGCAGUGGCAGCAUCCCCCAGAGACACAAGUAUUAACUCCCCCUGAGCUACAGAGUAAGAGGGAGCCCUUCCACACUGCAAAGAGCCACAAGUGCUCUGAGUGUAUAGCGGCAUUCCUAUAAGCACUUUGUGGCUGAAAAC
ensembl:lncRNA